rnacentral:rRNA from 1 species
AUAGGGUCAAGCGAACAAGUGCAUGUGGUGGAUGCCUUGGCGAUCACAGGCGAUGAAGGACGCGGUAGCCUGCGAAAAGCGGUGGGGAGCUGGCAAACGAGCUUUGAUCCACCGAUAUCCGAAUGGGGAAACCCGGCCCGUAUGGGUCAUCCAUGACUGAAUACAUAGGUCAUGCGAAGCGAACGCGGUGAACUGAAACAUCUAAGUAACCGCAGGAAAAGAAAUCAACCGAGAUUCCCAGAGUAGUGGCGAGCGAAAUGGGACCAGCCUGUACUCUUUAUCUUCAUUGUUAGUCGAACGCUCUGGAAAGUGCGGCCAUAGCAGGUGAUAGCCCUGUAGACGAAAACAGCGAGGAAGAACUGGGUGUACGACAAGUAGGGCGGGACACGUGAAAUCCUGUCUGAAGAUGGGGGGACCAUCCUCCAAGGCUAAAUACUCGUGAUCGACCGAUAGUGAACCAGUACCGUGAGGGAAAGGCGAAAAGAACCCCGGGAGGGGAGUGAAAUAGAUCCUGAAACCGCAUGCAUACAAACAGUCGGAGCCUUCGCAAGGGGGUGACGGCGUACCUUUUGUAUAAUGGGUCAGCGACUUACAUUCAGUGGCAAGCUUAACCGAUUAGGGCAGGCGUAGCGAAAGCGAGUCCGAACAGGGCGUUCAGUCGCUGGGUGUAGACCCGAAACCAGGUGAUCUAUCCAUGGCCAGGAUGAAGGUGCGGUAACACGUACUGGAGGUCCGAACCCCACUAACGUUGAAAAGUUAGGGGAUGAGCUGUGGAUAGGGGUGAAAGGCUAAACAAACCUGGAAAUAGCUGGUUCUCUCCGAAAACUAUUUAGGUAGUGCCUCGUGUAUCACCUUCGGGGUAGAGCACUGUCAUGGUUGUGGGGUCCAUUGCGGAUUACUACGCCAUAGCAAACUCCGAAUACCGAAGAGUGCAAUCACGGGAGACAGACAUCGGGUGCUAACGUCCGGUGUCAAGAGGGAAACAACCCAGACCGCCAGCUAAGGUCCCCAAAUAUUGCUAAGUGGGAAACGAAGUGGGAAGGCUAAAACAGUCAGGAGGUUGGCUUAGAAGCAGCCAUCCUUUAAAGAAAGCGUAAUAGCUCACUGAUCGAGUCGUCCUGCGCGGAAGAUGUAACGGGGCUAAGCAAUAUACCGAAGCUGCGGAUGCAUAUUUAUAUGCAUGGUAGGAGAGCGUUCCGUAAGCCUGCGAAGGUGCAUUGAAAAGUGCGCUGGAGGUAUCGGAAGUGCGAAUGCUGACAUGAGUAGCGAUAAAGGGGGUGAAAGGCCCCCUCGCCGUAAGCCCAAGGUUUCCUACGCAACGUUCAUCGGCGUAGGGUGAGUCGGCCCCUAAGGCGAGGCAGAAAUGCGUAGCUGAUGGGAAGCAGGUUAAUAUUCCUGCACCAUUGUUAAAUGCGAUGGGGGGACGGAUCGCGGAAAGGUUGUCCGGGUGUUGGAAGUCCCGGUCGCUGCGUUGGAGAAGGCACUCAGGCAAAUCCGGGUGCGCAAUUCAAGGGCGUGGCGCCAUUCACUUCGGUGAAGAAGCACUGGAAGUGGUUCCAAGAAAAGCCUCUAAGCUUCAGUUUAACAAGACCGUACCGCAAACCGACACAGGUGGGGCGAGAUGAGUAUUCUAAGGCGCUUGAGAGAACUCGGGAGAAGGAACUCGGCAAAAUUGGUACCGUAACUUCGGGAUAAGGUACGCCCCUGUAGCUUGACUGGCUGCGCCAGAAGGGUGAAGGGGUUGCAAUAAACUGGUGGCUGCGACUGUUUAAUA